rnacentral:rRNA from 1 species
AGACCAGACUCCUACGGGAGGCAGCAGUGGGGAAUAUUGGACAAUGGGGGGAACCCUGAUCCAGCGACGCCGCGUGAGUGAAGAAGUAUUUCGGUCUGUAAAGCUCUAUCAGCAGGGAAGAAAGAAAUGACGGUACCUGAAUAAGAAGCCCCGGCUAACUACGUGCCAGCAGCCGCGGUAAUACGUAGGGGGCGAGCGUUAUCCGGAUUUACUGGGUGUAAAGGGAGCGUAGACGGCUGGUCAAGUCUGAAGUGAAAGCCCGGGGCUUAACCCCGGAACGGCUUUGGAAACUGAGCAGCUAGAGUGCUGGAGAGGUAAGCGGAAUUCCUAGUGUAGCGGUGAAAUGCGUAGAUAUUAGGAGGAACACCAGUGGCGAAGGCGGCGUACUGGACAGUAACUGACGUUGAGGCUCGAAAGCGUGGGGAGCAAACAGGAUUAGAUACCCCAGUAGAA